rnacentral:rRNA from 1 species
GAUGAACGCUGGCGGCAUGGAUAAGGCAUGCAAGUCGAACGGUGUCUUCGGACAUAGUGGCGCACGGGUGCGUAACACGUAUGCAACCUACCUUACAUUGGGGGAUAGCCUUUCGAAAGGGAGAUUAAUACCGCAUAAGACAGUAGCUGGGCAUCCAGCAGCUGUUAAAGAUUUAUCGAUGUAAGCUGGGCAUGCGUCCGAUUAGCUAGUUGGUGAGGUAACGGCUCACCAAGGCAAUGAUUGGUAGGGGAACUGAGAGGUCAAUCCCCCACACUGGCACUGAGAUACGGGCCAGACUCCUACGGGAGGCAGCAGUAGGGAAUAUUGGGCAAUGGACGCAAGUCUGACCCAGCCAUGCCGCGUGCAGGAUGAAGGCGUUAUGCGUUGUAAACUGCUUUUAUACAGGAAGAAACGACUCUUGCGAGAGGCAUUGACGGUACUGUAUGAAUAAGCACCGGCUAACUCCGUGCCAGCAGCCGCGGUAA